GGUCAGAUGGCCGAGUGGUCUAAGGCGCUGCGUUUAGGCCGCAGUCUUCACGGGCGUGGGUGUAAGUUUUCCCCUCUUACUACCUCCAUCAGUUGGGUAUCCAGUCCUAACAUUAUUCCCCCAGUCGAAUCCCACUCUGAUCA
rnacentral:tRNA from 1 species